UAAUGAGUAGUUUAUAGUAAAACAGUAGGUUGUGGUUCUACAGAUAGAAUUGUUGACUCUCAUUAG
rnacentral:tRNA from 1 species